AGCUCUGCGCACUGGCAGUAUCAGAGCCAGUGAGGUGUGUCUGAGGUGUGAUUGUGGCUAAUUGAAAACUUUUCCCAAUUCCCCACGUCUUCUUAUGGUCAGUGGUAAAGACAGAGAA
rnacentral:snRNA from 1 species